rnacentral:rRNA from 1 species
UACGUAGGGUGCAAGCGUUGUUCGGAUUUACUGGGCGUAAAGGGCGCGUAGGCGGCGUGGUAAGUCACUUGUGAAAUCUCUGAGCUUAACUCAGGACGGCCAAGUGAUACUGCUGUGCUAGAGUGCAGAAGGGGCAAUCGGAAUUCUUGGUGUAGCGGUGAAAUGCGUAGAUAUCAAGAGGAACACCUGAGGUGAAGACGGGUUGCUGGGCUGACACUGACGCUGAUGCGCGAAAGCUAGGGGAGCAAACGGG